rnacentral:lncRNA from 12 species
CACUCUGAGCGGAUUUUGUCACCUCCUUGAUCAGGUUUUUUUCCCCUCCCUGAGCAGGUUCUGUCCCCUCCCUGUGCAGGUUCUGUCCCCUCCCCGGGCAUCUCAAUUCCCAUCCCUGCAAUGUCCACGGAAUUGACAUUGGAAUUCCCAUGAAACUGGGAAUUCUGUGCCCACCACCCAGGCCCAGCACUCCGGGAUAUUUUGGGGGUCCUGUGCCCAUCUGAGGGGUCCUGUGCCCAUCUGAGGGGUCCUGUGCCCAUUUGAGGGGGCUCUGUGCCCGUCUGGGGACAGUCCCACGCCCACAGGGGUUCCCUGGUUUAGGGAAGGGGGGCUGGGGUGGCUCUGUCCCCAUUCUGGUGACAUUUUUGAGGGUUGGGGACAGCGCAUUGUGAGAGCAUCAGGGCAGAACGGUCCCUCGCGGGCUAAAAAUCCAUUAACUCCCAUCCUGUCUCCUUUGGGCUUUUUUUUUUUUUUCCUCUUGUUGUUUUUUGUUUUUUGUUUCAUGGUUUGACUGAUUGCAUGAAUUAUCC